GUCUACAGCCAUGCUCCCUCGCAUGAUCCCGUCUAAUCUCGGAAGCUAAGCAGGGUUGGGCCUGGUUAGUACUUGGAUGGGAGACCACCUAGGAAGACCAGGUGCUGUAAGUG
rnacentral:rRNA from 1 species